UGAAGGGCGUGCUAAUCUGCGAUAAGCGCCGGUAAGGUGAUAUGAACCGUUAUAACCGGCGAUACCCGAAUGGGGAAACCCAGUGUGAUUCGUCACACUAUCAUUAACUGAAUCCAUAGGUUAAUGAGGCGAACCGGGGGAACUGAAACAUCUAAGUACCCCGAGGAAAAGAAAUCAACCGAGAUUCCCCCAGUAGCGGCGAGCGAACGGGGAGGAGCCCAGAGCCUGAAUCAGCAUGUGUGUUAGUGGAAGCGUCUGGAAAGGCGCGCGAUACAGGGUGACAGCCCCGUACACAAAAGCGCAUGUGCUGUGAGCUCGAUGAGUAGGGCGGGACACGUGGUAUCCUGUCUGAAUAUGGGGGGACCAUCCUCCAAGGCUAAAUACUCCUGACUGACCGAUAGUGAACCAGUACCGUGAGGGAAAGGCGAAAAGAACCCCGGCGAGGGGAGUGAAAAAGAACCUGAAACCGUGUACGUACAAGCAGUGGGAGCACCCUUCGGGGUGUGACUGCGUACCUUUUGUAUAAUGGGUCAGCGACUUAUAUUCUGUAGCAAGGUUAACCGUAUAGGGGAGCCGGAGGGAAACCGAGUCUUAACCGGGCGUUAAGUUGCAGGGUAUAGACCCGAAACCCGGUGAUCUAGCCAUGGGCAGGUUGAAGGUUGGGUAACACUAACUGGAGGACCGAACCGACUAAUGUUGAAAAAUUAGCGGAUGACCUGUGGCUGGGGGUGAAAGGCCAAUCAAACCGGGAGAUAGCUGGUUCUCCCCGAAAGCUAUUUAGGUAGCGCCUCGUGAAUUCAUCUCCGGGGGUAGAGCACUGUUUCGGCUAGGGGGCCAUCCCGGCUUACCAACCCGAUGCAAACUGCGAAUACCGGAGAAUGUUAUCACGGGAGACACACGGCGGGUGCUAACGUCCGUCGUGAAGAGGGAAACAACCCAGACCGCCAGCUAAGGUCCCAAAGUCAUGGUUAAGUGGGAAACGAUGUGGGAAGGCCCAGACAGCCAGGAUGUUGGCUUAGAAGCAGCCAUCAUUUAAAGAAAGCGUAAUAGCUCACUGGUCGAGUCGGCCUGCGCGGAAGAUGUAACGGGGCUAAACCAUGCACCGAAGCUGCGGCAGCGAACGUAUCACCCAAGACAACUUUACGGAGUUGACGAUUGACGGAGCGAAGCGACGUCAAAGCGUUCAUUAAAGUCGAGUUGGCUUAGGGAUACGUUCGUUGGGUAGGGGAGCGUUCUGUAAGCCUGUGAAGGUGUGUCGUGAGGCAUGCUGGAGGUAUCAGAAGUGCGAAUGCUGACAUAAGUAACGAUAAAGCGGGUGAAAAGCCCGCUCGCCGGAAGACCAAGGGUUCCUGUCCAACGUUAAUCGGGGCAGGGUGAGUCGACCCCUAAGGCGAGGCCGAAAGGCGUAGUCGAUGGGAAACGGGUUAAUAUUCCCGUACUUGGUGUUACUGCGAAGGGGGGACGGAGAAGGCUAUGUUGGCCGGGCGACGGUUGUCCCGGUUUAAGCGUGUAGGUGUGUGUUCCAGGUAAAUCCGGUUCACUUUAACACUGAGGCGUGACGACGAGGCACUACGGUGCUGAAGCAACAAAUGC
rnacentral:rRNA from 1 species